UACAGAGGGUGCAAGCGUUGUUCGGAAUUAUUGGGCGUAAAGAGCUCGUAGGCGGUCUGUCGCGUCUGCUGUGAAAACUCGGGGCUUAACCCCGGGCCUGCAGUGGGUACGGGCAGACUAGAGUGCGGUAGGGGAGACUGGAAUUCCUGGUGUAGCGGUGAAAUGCGCAGAUAUCAGGAGGAACACCGGUGGCGAAGGCAGUGGGCUGGGCCGGCACUGACGCUGAGGAGCGAAAGCGUGGGGAGCGAACAGG
rnacentral:rRNA from 1 species